rnacentral:rRNA from 1 species
GCCUCGAGUUGUAAUUUGUAGAGGAUACUUUUGAUGCGGUGCCUUCCGAGUUCCCUGGAACGGGACGCCAUAGAGGGUGAGAGCCCCGUCUGGUUGGAUGCCAAAUCUCUGUAAAGUUCCUUCAAC